rnacentral:rRNA from 1 species
AUUGAACGCUGGCGGCAUGCUUUACACAUGCAAGUCGAACGGUAACAGGCCUUCGGGUGCUGACGAGUGGCGAACGGGUGAGUAAUGCAUCGGAACGUGCCCAGAGGUGGGGGAUAACGCAGCGAAGGCUGUGCUAAUACCGCAUGUGAUCUGAGGAUGAAAGCGGGGGACCAGGCAGCAAUGUUUGGCCUCGCGCCUUUGGAGCGGCCGAUGUCAGAUUAGGUAGUUGGUGGGGUAAAGGCCUACCAAGCCGACGAUCUGUAGCUGGUCUGAGAGGACGACCAGCCACACUGGGACUGAGACACGGCCCAGACUCCUACGGGAGGCAGCAGUGGGGAAUUUUGGACAAAGGGCGCAAGCCUGAUCCAGCAAUGCCGCGUGCGGGAAGAAGGCCUUCGGGUUGUAAACCGCUUUUGUACGGAACGAAAAGGCUCUGGCUAAUACCUGGGGCUGAUGACGGUACCGUAAGAAUAAGCACCGGCUAACUACGUG